rnacentral:rRNA from 1 species
GAUGAACGCUAGCUACAGGCUUAACACAUGCAAGUCGAGGGGAAACGGCAUUGAGUGCUUGCACUCUUUGGACGUCGACCGGCGCACGGGUGAGUAACGCGCAUCCAACCUUCCCAUUACUGUGGGAUAACCUGCCGAAAGGCAGACUAAUACCGCAUAGUCUUCGAUGACGGCAUCAGAUUUGAAGUAAAGAUUUAUCGGUAAUGGAUGGGGAUGCGUCUGAUUAGCUUGUUGGCGGGGUAACGGCCCACCAAGGCUACGAUCAGUAGGGGUUCUGAGAGGAAGGUCCCCCACAUUGGAACUGAGACACGGUCCAAACUCCUACGGGAGGCAGCAGUGAGGAAUAUUGGUCAAUGGACGGAAGUCUGAACCAGCCAAGUAGCGUGCAGGAUGACGGCCCUAUGGGUUGUAAACUGCUUUUGUAUGGGGAUAAAGUUAGGGACGUGUCCCUAUUUGCAGGUACCAUACGAAUAAGGACCGGCUAAUUCCGUG